UACGUAUGGAGCAAGCGUUAUCCGGAUUUACUGGGUGUAAAGGGAGCGUAGACGGUAAUGUAAGUCUGAUGUGAAAGCCCGGGGCUCAACCCCGGGACUGCAUUGGAAACUAUGUAACUAGAGUACCGGAGAGGUAAGCGGAAUUCCUAGUGUAGCGGUGAAAUGCGUAGAUAUUAGGAGGAACACCAGUGGCGAAGGCGGCUUACUGGACGGAAACUGACGUUGAGGCUCGAAAGCGUGGGGAGCAAACAGG
rnacentral:rRNA from 1 species